UACAGAGGGUGCGAGCGUUAAUCGGAAUUACUGGGCGUAAAGCGUGCGUAGACGGCUAUCUAAGUCAGAUGUGAAAGCCCCGGGCUCAACCUGGGAAUUGCAUUUGAGACUGCGUAGCUAGGGUGCGGAAGAGGGAAGCGGAAUUUCCGGUGUAGCGGUGAAAUGCGUAGAUAUCGGAAGGAACACCAGUGGCGAAGGCGGCUCACUGGACUGGUAUUGACGCUGAGGUACGAAAGCGUGGGGAGCAAACAGG
rnacentral:rRNA from 1 species